GAAAUGCGAUAAGUAAUGUGAAUUGCAGAAUUCAGUGAAUCAUCGAAUCUUUGAACGCACAUUGCGCCCGCCAGUAUUCUGGCGGGCAUGCCUGUUCGAGCGUCAUUUCAACCAUCAAGCCCCCGGCUUGUGUUGGGGACCUGCGGCUGCCCGCAGGCCCUGAAAAACAGUGGCGGGCUCGCUGUCACACCGAGCGUAGUAGCAUACAUUCUCGCUCAGGGCGUGCUGCGGGUUCCGGCCGUUAAACGACCCUCAUAACCCAAGGUUGACCUCGGAUCAGGUAGGAAGACCCGCUGAACUUAAGC
rnacentral:misc_RNA from 1 species